AGUAAUGCCUAGGAAUCUGCCUGGUAGUGGGGGACAACGUUUCGAAAGGAACGCUAAUACCGCAUACGUCCUACGGGAGAAAGCAGGGGACCUUCGGGCCUUGCGCUAUCAGAUGAGCCUAGGUCGGAUUAGCUAGUUGGUGAGGUAAUGGCUCACCAAGGCGACGAUCCGUAACUGGUCUGAGAGGAUGAUCAGUCACACUGGAACUGAGACACGGUCCAGACUCCUACGGGAGGCAGCAGC
rnacentral:rRNA from 1 species